GAUUAUCCUUGCUAGAGAAGAUCCAUGCCUAAUACUAGGAAACAAUUUGAGCUCCAAAACAACCUAUACUAGCCAACUUUGAUGUAAAGCAUAAAGUGUAAGAAGCGAACUAAGAAAGGCACAACUUUAAACUUAAGCGAUUUUACAAAAAUAAUCUAUGCUUUUAAUUUUAACAAUUCGCCUAAUGAACUUUCAAAAUCACCAUAAUUAAAGCAUCAAGUGGAAUUGGCUAACUAGAGCUUACUAGUUAAAAAAAAAUGGAAAUUAUAUGGAAAAUCAAAAAAAGUGCUCUCUCUCUCUCUCUCUACGUAUGACAUCUCCGUUUCUCUCUCCCUCUUUAUUUUUUCCAUAAACUCCAAUUCAUCAACCUUACUUGAAAUUCAAUAAAUCCAAUAGAGAAAUCAAAAUCAAUAACAAUCCAACCAAAAUCAACAAUCUCAGUCCACUGAAAAUCUAAUCAACUAGAAAUUCAAAGAAUGAUAUGAAAAAUCAACAAACUGAGCAACCAAUUGGAGCAACAAACCUAGUGAGAAGAAGAAGGUGAAGCAGCUGCAAAACAGCUGUUUUUGGCAUUCCCAGCAUCAGCAAAGCCAAUUAGACCCUUCCACCUCACUGAUCGACCUCUCCAAACUAUUGAUUUCAUCAGGAAUUUGAAGGAGAAUCAGAUUGAAGAAAUUGGGAUUCAAACUUGCAGCAUUCGAUUGAAGCAA
rnacentral:misc_RNA from 1 species